AAAAAGGAAAAAAAAAAAAAAACUAUAUAAAAAAAAAGCUAUUCCUGUUUGCUUGAAAGAUGUUUGCAAGCGUGUAU
rnacentral:ribozyme from 1 species